rnacentral:rRNA from 1 species
UAGUAUCGGAACGUGCCCAGUCGUGGGGGAUAACUGCUCGAAAGAGCAGCUAAUACCGCAUACGACCUGAGGGUGAAAGCGGGGGAUCGCAAGACCUCGCGCGAUUGGAACGGCCGAUAUCAGAUUAGGUAGUUGGUGAGGUAAAGGCUCACCAAGCCGACGAUCUGUAGCUGGUCUGAGAGGACGACCAGCCACACUGGGACUGAGACACGGCCCAG